ACUCCUACGGGAGGGCAGCAGUAGGGGAAGUCUUCCACAAUGGGCGCAAGACCUGAUGGAGCAACACCGCGUGAGUGAAGAAGGGUUCGGCUCGUAAAGCUCUGUUGUUAAAGAAGAACACGUAUGAGAGUAACUGUUCAUACGUUGACGGUAUUUAACCAGAAAGUCACGGCUAACUACGUGCCAGCAGCCGCGGUAAUACGUAGGUGGCAAGCGUUAUCCGGAUUUAUUGGGCGUAAAGAGAGUGCAGGCGGUUUUCUAAGUCUGAUGUGAAAGCCUUCGGCUUAACCGGAGAAGUGCAUCGGAAACUGGAUAACUUGAGUGCAGAAGAGGGUAGUGGAACUCCAUGUGUAGCGGUGGAAUGCGUAGAUAUAUGGAAGAACACCAGUGGCGAAGGCGGCUACCUGGUCUGCAACUGACGCUGAGACUCGAAAGCAUGGGGUAGCGAACAGGAUUAGAUACCCUGGUAGGAUA
rnacentral:rRNA from 1 species